rnacentral:rRNA from 1 species
GUCGAGAAUCUUUCACAAUGGGGGCAACCCUGAUGGAGCGACGCCGCGUGGAGGAUAAGGUCUUCGGAUUGUAAACUCCUGUCAUGCGUGAACAAGGUUGCUUGGUUAAUACCUGGGCAAAUUGAUGGUAACGCAAGAGGAAGAGACGGCUAACUCUGUGCCAGCAGCCGCGGUAAUACAGAGGUCUCAAGCGUUGUUCGGAAUCACUGGGCGUAAAGGGUGCGUAGGUGGCGUGGUAAGUCAGAUGUGAAAGCCCGGGGCUCAACCUCGGAACUGCAGCCGAUACUGCCAUGCUAGAGUACUGGAGAGGUGACUAGAAUUCUCGGUGUAGCAGUGAAAUGCGUAGAUAUCGAGAGGAAUACCAAAGGCGUAGGCAGGUCACUGGACAGUUACUGACACUGAGGCACGAAGGCCAGGGGAGCGAACGGGAUUAGAUACCCCGGUAGUCC